AAGAGUUCUUAUAUAAUCUGCAAAGAGAAAGUACAAGAAAACACAUGAUACAAAGAGGAGCUUUCAUCAUGAGAGCCAAAGAUGGGGAAUGCAUGCUUUCAAAGUACAUAAGAGUGAUGCAACAAUAAUAACACUGAACACUUAGCUUCUCUAUAUUCACCAGUCUGGAAAAUUCAGUGUGACUUUAAGUUUAACACUACUCUGCUAAGUAACCUCAACUGACCAGCACUGAUUCUGAGGCUUUAGUUACUGGGAUGUGGAUGUUGUCAAGAGGAAGAAUUGGCAGUCAUAAACCUGAAAUUCAG
rnacentral:lncRNA from 12 species